UACGUAGGUCCCGAGCGUUGUCCGGAUUUAUUGGGCGUAAAGCGAGCGCAGGUGGUUUAAUAAGUCUGAUGUAAAAGGCAGUGGCUCAACCAUUGUGUGCAUUGGAAACUGGUAGACUUGAGUGCAGGAGAGGAGAGUGGAAUUCCAUGUGUAGCGGUGAAAUGCGUAGAUAUAUGGAGGAACACCGGUGGCGAAAGCGGCUCUCUGGCCUGUAACUGACACUGAGGUGCGAGAGCGUAGGGAGCAAACAGG
rnacentral:rRNA from 1 species